AUACCUUUCUCGGCUUUUUGGCUAAGAUCAAGUGUAGUAUCUUUUCUUAUCAGUUUAAUAUCUGAAAAGUUCUUUUUAUCAGUAACUUCCU
rnacentral:snRNA from 1 species